rnacentral:rRNA from 1 species
UACGUAGGGGGCUAGCGUUGUCCGGAAUCAUUGGGCGUAAAGAGCGUGUAGGCGGUCCGGUAAGUCCGCUGUGAAAGUCGGGGGCUCAACCCUCGAAUGCCGGUGGAUACUGUCGGGCUAGAGUGCGGAAGAGGCGAGUGGAAUUCCUGGUGUAGCGGUGAAAUGCGCAGAUAUCAGGAGGAACACCGGUGGCGAAGGCGGGUCUCUGGGCCGAUAUCGACGCUGGAGGAGCGAAAGCGUGGGGAGCGAACAGG